rnacentral:rRNA from 1 species
UUCGGAUUGUAGUCUGCAACCCGACUACAUGAAGCCGGAAUCGCUAGUAAUCGCGGAUCAGAAUGCCGCGGUGAAUACGUUCCCGGGUCUUGUACACACCGCCCGUCACACCAUGGGAGUCGGAAAUGCCCGAAGUCUGUGACCCAACCGCGAGGAGGGAGCAGCCGAAGGCAGGUCGGAUGACUGGGGUGAAGUCGUAACAAGGUAGC